rnacentral:ncRNA from 1 species
UUUGGUCCUAGCCUUAUACUCAACUAUUACUUAACUUACACAUGCAAGUAUCUGCACACCCGUGAGAAAGCCCCUACCCCUCUAGAAAGGUAAAGGAGCCGGUAUCAGGAACAAAUAUUUUUCCCACGACACCUAGUUUCGCCACACCUCCAAAGGUAUUCAGCAGUGAUCAACAUUGUCCAUAAGCGCAAGCUUGAGCCAGUUAAAGUAAAUAGAGCCGGCCAAUUCGGUGCCAGCCGCCGCGGCUACCCCGCUUGGCUCAAGUUGAUUCUUUCGGCGUUAAGCGUGGUUAAAGUAACAUAAAUAUACUAGAAUUAAACCAACCCCAAGUUGUGAUACACUUGCCCAAAGAAAUUCAUAAACGAAAGUUAUUCUAUAAAAUACUUGAACCCACGACAGUUGAGAUACAAACUGGGAUUAGGCACCCCACUAUGCCCAACCGUAAAAUAUUUAUUCACACCAUCCCCCGCCAGGAAAUUACGAGCCACCUUAAAACCCAAAGGACUUGACGGUGCCCCAUCCACCUAGAGGAGCCUGUUCUAUAAUCGAUACCCCCCGAUAUACCUCACCACCCCUUGCCCACAGUCUGUAUACCUCCGUCGCAAGCUUACCAUGUAAACGCCAGUAAGCUAAAAGAUAUUUACCAUCAACACGUCAGGUCAAGGUGCAACUAACGGAGUGGAAAGAAAUGGGCUACAAUUUCUAUAAUAGAAUAUACAAAAACCUACAUGCAACAUAGCCUUAAGGCGGAUUUAGUAGUAAAAAGAAAAUAGAAUAUCCUUUUUAAUCAGGCACUGAGGCGCGUACACACCGCCCGUCACCCUCUUCAAAUAUUACUUAUAAGAAGAGGCAAGUCGUAACACGGUAAGCGUACUGGAAGGUGCGCUUGGAUAACCAAAAUGUAGCUUACUCAAAGCACUUCGCUUACACCAAAGAGACGUCUAAAUCUAGACCAUUUUGAGCCCCUAACUUUAGCCCCCCACCUUAUUUUUUCCACCUAAACCCAAUAAAACAUUUUUACAAUUUAGUAAAGGCGAUUAAAAAAUAAGUAAGAGCCAUAGAUACAGUACCGCAAGGGAAAUAUGAAAUAUUACUUAAAGCAUAAAAUAGCAAAGACUUAAUCUUGUACCUUUUGCAUCAUGGUCUAGCCAGUAUAAUCAAGCAAAACGAACUUACAGUUUGACACCCCGAAACUAAGCGAGCUACUUUAGAACAGCAUAUAGCGCCAACCCAUCCAUAUUGCAAAAUGGUGGGAAGAUUCUAAAGUAGAGGUGACACACCUACCGAGCUUAGAGAUAGCUGGUUAUUCAGAAAAAGGAUUUUAGUCCUACCUUAAGCCCAACUAGCAACUACUAGACACCCCCAAUGCUUAAAAGUCAUUCAAAUAAGGUUCAGCCUAUUUGAACAAGGAAACAGCCUAACAUCUUGGGUACUAACAUAUAACAUGACCAAGUAGGCCUAAGAGCAGCCAACUUCCAAAAAGCGUCCAAGCUUCCCCAUAACAAUUAUUUAUACCACCACCUUAAAACAACCCACAACCACCACUGAAUGAUCUUAUAUACAUAUAAGAAACAUAAUGCUAGAACUAGUAAUAAGAACUGAAAUUCUCUAAAAUGUAAAUGUGAGCCAAAAUGGACUGCCUUUGGCACUUACCCGCCUAUAUUUAUGUAGUUACCUCAACAAGAAAACUCUACAACACUUAACGUUAACCUCACACUAGAACAUUUCCAGAAAGAUUAAAAGGAGAGGAAGGAACUCGGCAAAUAUCAGCCCCGCCUGUUUACCAAAAACAUCGCCUCUUGUAAGACAUAAGAGGUCCGACCUGCCCAGUGACACUAGUUAAACGGCCGCGGUACCCUAACCGUGCAAAGGUAGCACAAUCACUUGUUCUUUAAAUCAGGACUAGUAUGAACGGCCACACGAGGGCUAUACUGUCUCCCUCCCCCAAUCAAUGAAACUGAUCUACCCGUGAAGAAGCGGGCAUAUCCUAAUAAGACGAGAAGACCCCAUGGAACUUAAAACUAAUAUCACUGCCACAACACACCACAUAAGCAACAUGAAUACUAGUCUUUCGGCUGGGGCGACCACGGAGAAAAACAAAACCUCCAUGAUGAAAGGCUACCCCCUAAUCUUAGACCCACCAAUCCAAGAAUCAAUAAAUUGACUAUUUGACCCAACACUUGAUCAACGAACCAAGCUACCCUGGGGAUAACAGCGCAAUCCAUUUCAAGAGACCCCA